AUUGAACGCUGGCGGCAUGCCUUACACAUGCAAGUCGAACGGCAGCGCGGGAGCAAUCCUGGCGGCGAGUGGCGAACGGGUGAGUAAUAUAUCGGAACGUGCCCAUUAGUGGGGGAUAGCCCGGCGAAAGCCGGAUUAAUACCGCAUACGACCUGAGGGUGAAAGCGGGGGAGCGCAAGACCUCGCGCUAUUGGAGCGGCCGAUAUCAGAUUAGCUAGUUGGUGGGGUAAAGGCCUACCAAGGCAACGAUCUGUAGUUGGUCUGAGAGGACGACCAGCCACACUGGGACUGAGACACGGCCCAGACUCCUACGGGAGGCAGCAGUGGGGAAUUUUGGACAAUGGGCGCAAGCCUGAUCCAGCAAUGCCGCGUGCAGGAAGAAGGCCUUCGGGUUGUAAACUGCUUUUGUCAGGGAAGAAAUCCUUUGGGCUAAUACCUCGGAGGGAUGACGGUACCUGAAGAAUAAGCACCGGCUAACUACGUGCCAGCAGCCGCAGUAA
rnacentral:rRNA from 1 species